GACGAACGCUGGCGGCGUGCUUAACACAUGCAAGUCGAGCGGAGCGGCGAAAGGGUGAGUAACGCGUGAGUAACUGCCCCCCUCUCUGGGAUAACAGAUGGAAACGGCUGCUAAUACCGGAUAGUGGGGGAUGGCUCGCGUCCUAUCAGCUUGUUGGUGGGGUAGUGGCCUACCAAGGCGACGACGGGUAGCCGGCCUGCGAUGGCGACCGGCACCAUUGGGCUGAGAUACGGCCCAAACGGAAUGGUGGGGCAGCGGGGGGGAAUAGUGCGCAAUGGGGGAAACCCGUAUGCAGAGACGCCGGGUGCGGGAUGACGGCCUUCGGGUUGUAAACCGCUUUCAGCCAGGACGCGGUAGUGGCAGAAGAAGCACCGGCUAACUACGUGCCAGCAGCCGCGGUAAUAC
rnacentral:rRNA from 1 species